GAAAAAUAUUGUGCUAAAAGUAAGGGACUUAUCCAGGCCACAGGAGGAAAGCCUCAUUUGAAUGAUUUCUGUCUUCCUUGUUAUCAGCCAUGAGGCACCUGGGAAUCUUAGCUCCUGACCAGGGAUGGAACCCAAACCCCCUCACUGGAAGAUGAAGUCUUAACCACUGGACAGCCAGGGAAGCCCCUGUUUCCUCUUUCUAAUUGCCCUCUUUCUGAGCCAAUACUGGAGAAGAGAGUCCUUGGCGCUUGGCCCUCGACCUGCCAUUAUGGAUAAUAGAGCCCUUGAUCUGGACGAGGCUCACAGCUCUCGACACAGGCAAGAGAUACAAUAUUGAAGCUACUUUCAGCCUUUUCUCUUUCCAUGGCAGACAUGUGAUGGCUGCAAAAGACAAGGAAGGUGCGGCCGCCAGGUGCAGAGGCAGGGAGGAGGCCAGGAGGGCAGGGCGAGGCCUGGUGGUGAUUAAGACAUUCUCAAUCAGGAGAGUGAAGCAGAAACGUCAGAGCAGCUCCCAUCUGAAUGGUCUGAAAGGCCACAGCAGCAGCUGACAGGGACUGGUUUGGUGGCAGAGGGAGGUUAGUGGGCCACAGAUCAAUUCCCAGCCGUCCAGGGUGGCAUCUCAGGAUGGCCUUCACCAGGGGAGGGGAGCAACUCUGAACCUCAGCAGGGUGGGAGAGCCAACAGCCCGGGUGCUCUUAACACACUCAGUAGUCCUCCAACUUGAGAGCACUUCAGAAUCACCCGCAGAUCUUGUUUAAAACUCAGAUUCCUGGGCCAUCAGGUGGUUUUGCCCUGCCAACUGUCGUGACCCAAAGCCCUGGAGUUCCUGUGGAUGGAAGCUGGACUCUCCCUUCUGCUCUGUUUACAUCCUAGAAAAGGGCACUGAGCCCACCUUUGGGGGCCCUAACAGGCAUGCCCGCCAGGGCCAGAUUGGUCCCUAACUAACGCUGGGUAGUGGACCCCUCUGCAGGGCAUGUGGGUUGCAGUCAAGCUCCACCCACAGAAGCUCCGUUCUUGCACUGAAAUGGUUGGCCAGGGACUUCCCUGGUGGUCCAGUGGCUAAGAUUCUGUGCUCCCAAUGCAGAGGGCACAGGUUCGAUCCCUGGUCGGGGAACUAGGAUCCCGAAUGCCACAGGGUAGGACCUGAAAAGGAAAAAAAAAAAAAGACCUGAAAUGAUCGGGUGGCCUGGGCUAGCCCAGGGGGAAAUUCAGGCCUGGGUACGUAUCAGGAAGGCUGUCGAUAUCUGAGAACUCACUGAAAAUG
ensembl:lncRNA